CCUACGGGAGGCAGCAGUGGGGAAUAUUGCACAAUGGGGGGAACCCUGAUGCAGCGACGCCGCGUGGGUGAGGAAGUACUUCGGUAUGUAAAGCCCUAUCAGCAGGGAAGAAAAUGACGGUACCUGACUAAGAAGCCCCGGCUAACUACGUGCCAGCAGCCGCGGUAAUACGUAGGGGGCAAGCGUUAUCCGGAUUUACUGGGUGUAAAGGGAGCGUAGACGGCGUGGCAAGUCUGAUGUGAAAGGCCGGGGCUCAACCCCGGGACUGCAUUGGAAACUGGGAUGCUGGAGUGCUGGAGGGGCAAGCGGAAUUCCUAGUGGAGCGGUGAAAUGCGUAGAUAUUAGGAAGAACACCAGUGGCGAAGGCGGCUUGCUGGACGGUAACUGACGUUGAGGCUCGAAAGCGUGGGGAGCAAACAGGAUUAGAUACCCCUGUAGUC
rnacentral:rRNA from 1 species